AUUGAACGCUGGCGGCAUGCUUUACACAUGCAAGUCGAACGGUAACAGGGUGCUUGCACCGCUGACGAGUGGCGAACGGGUGAGUAAUGCGUCGGAACGUGCCGAGUAGUGGGGGAUAACGCAGCGAAAGUUGUGCUAAUACCGCAUACGUACUGAGGUAGAAAGUGGGGGACCUUCGGGCCUCACGCUAUUCGAGCGGCCGACGUCUGAUUAGCUAGUAGGUGAGGUAAAGGCUCACCUAGGCGACGAUCAGUAGCGGGUCUGAGAGGAUGAUCCGCCACACUGGGACUGAGACAGGGCCGAGACUCCUGCGGGAGGCAGCAGUGGGGAAUUUUGGACAAUGGGCGAAAGCCUGAUCCAGCCAUGCCGCGUGUCUGAAGAAGGCCUUCGGGUUGUAAAGGACUUUUGUCAGGGAGGAAAUCCCUAGUGCUAAUAACACUGGGGGAUGACAGUACCUGAAGAAUAAGCACCGGCUAACUACGUGCCAGCCGCCGCGGUAA
rnacentral:rRNA from 1 species